GGGCAACCUUGUCAGUCAGCACUUGACUGCUUUGCUCUGUUCUUGACCAGCCCAAGCAAUUCACAUCGCCCUCAAGGUUUCUUUCAUUCCUUGCAGCUUGAGGACACCUUGCCUUUUCUCUGAGUCCAGUAGCCUGCAAGACAGAGGCUGCAGAUGGCCAUCAGGAAAGCAGGCAGCGUUGUUCAGGUACCAAGCACCCUCAGCUUUCAGGCAUCUGUGCAGCUGAGUGGAGAGAAGGGCACAGACUUCCUCAGGCUGGUAGUGCCUGGUGCAGUUCUGGGCAGAAACAGGGUGACACCUUGCUCGUCAUCUCACUUGUUCUGCUGCCCAUGAAGAGAGCACAACAUCAGAAGUGUUGUUUGCAAGUUGUCCAGGUUACCUCUGGUAACACUGCAUGCAAGAUAGAGAGAAGAGAAACGCAUUCAAGCAUCAUUCAAGCAUCUCGUGACAUUACCCUUAAAU